rnacentral:rRNA from 1 species
UACGUAGGGUGCAAGCGUUGUCCGGAAUUAUUGGGCGUAAAGAGCUCGUAGGCGGUCUGUCACGUCGGCUGUGAAAACCCGAGGCUCAACCUCGGGCCUGCAGUCGAUACGGGCAGACUAGAGUUCGGUAGGGGAGACUGGAAUUCCUGGUGGUAGCGGUGAAAUGCGCAGAUAUCAGGAGGAACACCGGUGGCGAAGGCGGGUCUCGUGGGCCGAUGACUGACGCUGGAGGAGCGAAAGCGUGGGGAGCGAACAGGA